rnacentral:rRNA from 1 species
GUGCACCAGGCGCGAAACCUCCACAAUGCGGGAAACCGUGAUGGGGGGAAUCCGAGUGCCCGUUGGCUAAUGCUGGCGGGCUUUUCUCAAGCGUAAAAGGCUUGAGGAGUAAGGACUGGGUAAGACCGGUGCCAGCCGCCGACGGUAACACCGGCGGUCCAAACUGGUGAUCAGCAUUAUUGGGUCUAAAGCGCCCGUAGCCGGAUGGUUGGAUUUCGAGUGAAAUUCCCCAGCUUAACUGGGGGGCUGCUUGAAAC